GGGAAGGGGGCUUAAUGCAAGUCGAACGAUGAACCGGUGCUUGCUUCGGGGAUUAGUGGCGAACGGGUGAGUAACACGUGAGUAACCUGCCCUUGACUCUGGGAUAAGCCUGGGAAACUGGGUCUAAUACCGGAUAUGACCUUCCAUCGCAUGGUGGUUGGUGGAAAGCUUUUGUGGUUUUGGAUGGACUCGCGGCCUAUCAGCUUGUUGGUGAGGUAAUGGCUUACCAAGGCGACGACGGGUAGCCGGCCUGAGAGGGUGACCGGCCACACUGGGACUGAGACACGGCCCAGACUCCUACGGGAGGCAGCAGUGGGGAAUAUUGCACAAUGGGCGCAAGCCUGAUGCAGCGACGCCGCGUGAGGGAUGACGGCCUUCGGGUUGUAAACCUCUUUCAGUAGGGAAGAAGCGAAAGUGACGGUACCUGCAGAAGAAGCGCCGGCUAACUACGUGCCAGCAGCCGCGGUAAUACGUAGGGCGCAAGCGUUAUCCGGAAUUAUUGGGCGUAAAGAGCUCGUAGGCGGUUUGUCGCGUCUGCCGUGAAAGUCCGGGGCUCAACUCCGGAUCUGCGGUGGGUACGGGCAGACUAGAGUGAUGUAGGGGAGACUGGAAUUCCUGGUGUAGCGGUGAAAUGCGCAGAUAUCAGGAGGAACACCGAUGGCGAAGGCAGGUCUCUGGGCAUUAACUGACGCUGAGGAGCGAAAGCAUGGGGAGCGAACAGGAUUAGAUACCCCUGGUAGUCCAUGCCGUAAACCUUGGGGCACUAGGUGUGGGGGACAUUCCACGUUUUCCGCGCCGUAGCUAACCCAUUAAGUGCCCCCGCCUGGGGAGUACCGCCCCGGCUAAAAACUCAAAGAAUUUAACCGGGGGCCCACAACUAACAAUCCCAUUAAUUUCAAAUUCCAA
rnacentral:rRNA from 1 species